UUGAAUGGUGAAAUUUGAGAACGUUGUUUCUGUUGGCUUCAGGGACAUGUGUCCAUUUGGUGCCACUGUCGUAUUCUUCUUGUUAACUUUUUAAGUUUGAAUGUUUAUUUCGUUUUUUUUUUAAAACUGCCAAACAGGGAAAAUAAAGGAUCCCACUAUAAAUUA